UUUGCAGUGACGAUGACAAUCAUAGUUUAGGGCAAGAAAUAUAGAAGAUAAAGAAAAAUAUAAACAAUUAAAACUGUACAGUAGAAAUGAUCGGCAAUACAAGAUAAACAGAAGACAACAAGGCCUAAAUGGUGAGACUUCUUGGUUUUCAUGAUCAUCAACAGGUCAGUACAGAGGAAACUUAAGGUUAAUACUUUUCUACAUGGUGUACUAAUAGGAUUAAUGUGAAAUGAAAUGUGUGCUUACCUGGAAAAAGAAAAAUAGGAAAUUUCUACAAAAUGGCUGUAAACAAAAUGGAGUACAAUCAUAGAUGCACACAAGAACACAAUUGUGUAAUUGCAACAACCUACAUAUUCACUGAAGGAUUAUGGAGAAAUGUAGAAAAAAAUAGUAUUUUGUUGUCGAAAUAAACACCUGCUUUAUCCAUUCAUGUACAUAGCUCUGUCAUAUCAAAUAUACAGAGGAAGAUGUUUGAAGAACAAAUUGCAAAAAUGUAUUCUCUACCAAUUGAAGGAAGAUGUCUGGUGGAUGGAAUUAUUUAUGCACUGAACUGUUAUGUAGGGGAUUGAAUAAUUGUACGCAACAGCUUAAAUAGAAGAAAAGUUAAAUUAACAUGAAAAGUGGUUAUUUUAUUUAAUCUGCAAAUAUGAGCACAAUAUUAAUAACAUCACAAAUAGUAUGAUAUUCAUAGCGUUUUGCUUAUUAUUGUAUUGUCUCAAACAGCUAGCCUAUUGUUUUAGUAUGUCAUGUUACUCAUCAGUGAACAUUUUAUUAAAGUUUUAAUUAUC